UAGGGAAUCUUCCGCAAUGGCCGCAAGUCUGACGGAGCAACGCCGCGUGAGUGAAGAAGGAUUUCGGUUCGUAAAACUCUGUUGUUAGAGAAGAACAGCGCAUAGAGUAACUGUUAUGCGUGUGACGGUAUCUAACCAGAAAGCCACGGCUAACUACGUGCCAGCAGCCGCGGUAAUACGUAGGUCCCGAGCGUUGUCCGGAUUUAUUGGGCGUAAAGCGAGCGCAGGCGGUUAGAAAAGUCUGAAGUGAAAGGCAGUGGCUCAACCAUUGUAGGCUUUGGAAACUGUUUAACUUGAGUGCAGAAGGGGAGAGUGGAAUUCCAUGUGUAGCGGUGAAAUGCGUAGAUAUAUGGAGGAACACCGGUGGCGAAAGCGGCUCUCUGGUCUGUAACUGACGCUGAGGCUCGAAAGCGUGGGGAGCGAACAGG
rnacentral:rRNA from 1 species